GUGGGGAAUAUUGGACAAUGGGCGAAAGCCUGAUCCAGCAAUGCCGCGUGAGUGAUGAAGGCCUUAGGGUUGUAAAGCUCUUUUACCCGGGAAGAUAAUGACUGUACCGGGAGAAUAAGCCCCGGCUAACUCCGUGCCAGCAGCCGCGGUAAUACGGAGGGGGCUAGCGUUGUUCGGAAUUACUGGGCGUAAAGCGCGCGUAGGCGGACCAGAAAGUUGGAGGUGAAAUCCCAGGGCUCAACCUUGGAACUGCCUUCAAAACUCCUGGUCUGGAGUUCGAGAGAGGUGAGUGGAAUUCCGAGUGUAGAGGUGAAAUUCGUAGAUAUUCGGAGGAACACCAGUGGCGAAGGCGGCUCACUGGCUCGAUACUGACGCUGAGGUGCGAAAGCGUGGGGAGCAAACAGGAUUAGAUACCCCAGUAGUCC
rnacentral:rRNA from 1 species